rnacentral:rRNA from 1 species
UACGAAGGGGGCUAGCGUUGUUCGGAAUUACUGGGCGUAAAGGGCGCGUAGGCGGUGUGUCAAGUCAGGCGUGAAAGCCCCGGGCUCAACCUGGGAACCGCGCUUGAGACUGGCACGCUAGAGUUCGGGAGAGGAUGGUGGAAUUCCCAGUGUAGAGGUGAAAAUUCGUAGAUAUUGGGAAGAACACCGAUGGCGAAGGCAGCCAUCUGGACCGACACUGACGCUGAGGCGCGAAAGCGUGGGGAGCAAACAGGG